GAUGAGAUCUGAUAAGUACAGCUAGGAAAAAACUCUUUGGAAAAAACAAGAACUGCAUGUGGCACUGCAGAGUGGGAGAGGGAGACAGAGAGAUGGAGAAGAAAUAAAAUGUCUGUGCGUCACCCCUGCCUUGGAGUUAUACACCUAGCUUGUAGAUGCAAAGCACUGCAGAGAAUAUGCAUGGAAUAACUCGUAUCUUGAAGGAUGUUUUCCUUUAAAACCAAGAAGAAAGCAAAAACAAAGCUGAAAUUGAAACCGGCAACAGAUAAUCACAGGCAGUUGUUCAGGGUUGCCAAAGCAUCUAACACCCGUUCUCCUGAGAGCUCCACUUCUGAACCAUGCUAACAUUGUGAGAAAUCUCAGCCUGAGGAAGGAGACAGGGUUAUUUUAGUGGAUCCAAGGAACGGUGCAGUGCCACAGACUGUUGCAUUGACACAACUGAUGGAGCAGCCUGUGGAGGU